UACGGGGGGGAGCAAGCGUUGUUCGGAUUUACUGGGCGUAAAGGGCGCGUAGGCGGCCACCGCAAGUCAGUUGUGAAAGCUCUGGGCUUAACCCAGAAAGGUCAGCUGAUACUGCGGGGCUAGAGUGCAGAAGGGGCAACUGGAAUUCUCGGUGGUAGCGGUGAAAUGCGUAGAUAUCGAGAGGAACACCAGUAGCGAAGGCGACACUCUGGGCCGGUACUGACGCUGAGGAGCGAAAGCGUGGGGAGCAAACAGG
rnacentral:rRNA from 1 species